CCUACGGGAGGCAGCAGUGAGGAAUCUUGGUCAAUGGACGAGAGUCUGAACCAGCCAAGUAGCGUGAAGGAUGAAUGCCCUCUGGGUUGUAAACUUCUUUUAUAUGGGAAUAAAAUGUUCCACGUGUGGGAUUUUGUAUGUACCAUAUGAAUAAGGAUAGGCUAACUCCGUGCCAGACGCCGCGGUAAUACGGUGGAUCCGAGCGUUAUCCGGAUUUAUUGGGUUUAAAGGGAGCGUAGGUGGAUUGUUAAGUCAGUUGUGAAAGUUUGCGGCUCAACCGUAAAAUUGCAGUUGAAACUGGCAGACUUGAGUACAGUAGAGGAGGGCGGAAUUCGUGGUGUAGCGGUGAAAUGCUUAGAUAUCACGAAGAACUCCGAUUGCGAAGGCAGCUCACUGGACUGCAACUGACACUGAGGCUCGAAAGUGUGGGUAUCAAACAGGAUUAGAUACCCUGGUAGUC
rnacentral:rRNA from 1 species